AAUCCAUUUCUCAAUUUCGCCACCAUUAUUAUCGGCGCCAGACUGCCUUCAAUGAUGACACUGUAUGCCCUGCAUGUCCAAAGACUGACGGAGAGAUAAUUGUCUCCCUGGAUGGAAACUUUGGUCUUGUCAGGAAAAAAAACUCCGGAAAUAGUACAGCCGAGACUUUGCAUGACAACACCUUGUUUCUCAAGGAUGAAGGUGUUCAACAGUUUUUACUCUCCCAUCCUGAGGGUUCCAAGCCAAGUGAGG